GGAAAAUUCAUUUUUAAUCAUUUAUCGGUACUCACUUUGUAAAAUCCAAAAUCCAGAUUUACAUUUCUCAAGCAAACUUAAAGAUUCAUGGAGAGCACAUAUUCACCCAUGUGCUUGCAAAGGCAAACACGAGAGCCCCACCCUUCCACAUCGCUAUCCAGAAAACUGACUCGAGCUGAUUUACACGGUGCAUUAUUGUUUUUAUAUAUUAAGAAAGGUUUCGCUUCCAUGAAAAGAAGCUACAGCCCAAGAGUGCAAAUUCCUAUUAGGCCCAAAAGAAAAUAUACAAUGACAACCAGGGCCCAAAUAACAUAUGAGAAUCCUAAAAAGCAAUCCAGCCCAUCCAAAACAGUGUAACUGAUAACCGACUGCCGCCAAACAAAGGGCAAGAGCAGGAUCCUUUUAGUGUCCCUGCAAAAAGGGCUACUUCUUGUGCCACGAUCUUCUUGGAUAUUAUAGUAGUCCCACUCAUUCCUGCUGUAGUACAAAUGGAGCCACAGCCUUUAAGUAGAGUUUGAUCUCUUCCAGAAGCAAAAAAAGGCCUCCAAAAACUCCUUUUUACACCACCCACAUCCAGAUUUGGGUUCCACCCCAUGAAGAUAGAAAUGUUCUUACUGCCAAUGGUAAACGUACGCCUUAACAAUUGCUCCUCAGCCACCACUAACUAGCCAUUGAACUUUGUGGCAUAAGAGCUUACACCAAAAGAAAGGCUCCCUUACAACAACUAAGUAUCAAAGAUGUAGAAUAGAAAACUAUAAAUCAACAUGUUUUUACUUUUUAUGAUGGAGAGGGACAAAACCAAAAGCUAUUAUGAAAAGCCAUUGAAAGAUACAAAGGCAAGGUAAAGAAAUAAAUAAAUGAAACUGAAAUAAAAUUGGGCAGCAACCUUAGAUAGAAGCCGGAGAACUAGGUUUCCUACAGAAAAACAGGGUUCAGAACACUUAUUAUCCAAACUAAGAAUAUGAACCUCAAUAGUAAUUAAGCAGAACUCAUUUAUAUGCAUCAAGAUCAACCUACCACAAAUCAUAUUAAUCCAAAAACUAAUAGCACUCUAGCAGUAUACAAGUUUCUGCAUCCAUUUUGCUAAUGGACAAUUGAAGAAAACCCCAAAAGACCUACAUUAAGAGCAAUUGAAGUAAACCUCAUCAGACCUACAUUAAGAGCACAUAUCAUCACAAGGCAUAUUUCCUAAGACGAAUUUAUAUAACCUCAAACAAGCACAAUCUACAUAGUAAAUACUAAAAAUGACUCCCAUUAUUUGAUAGGUGUUAGAAACCUAUAAUCUGCUAGGGAUCAAAUAGCAAGCUCAUGUUAUAAUCUAAUAAAAGAUCCGUACUUUACCAUAAACUUCAAGACAAAUGUAACAAGGAAAAUUAGCACAUUCUUAUCGAAAGCACAAACGUCAAAGACAUCAUCAGAAUAAUUCAAUCAAUAAGAACUAAAACCUACUGGGAAAGUAACUCAUAUCCCUUUAAACCAAAAAGCACCAAACAAAACAGCUUAAGCAGUAAGAACAACAGCUCCACCGUUCUCCUUUAUCUUAUUCUCGGCAAUCUUGGACACCAGC
rnacentral:misc_RNA from 1 species